AGACAAAGAUCGAUGGAAAAAAACGGGACCCGCAAAAAAUAUUGAGGAGAAACCACGAGAAAAGAAUGAGGGAAAUUGAAGACAAAAAGCGACACAGGCUGUUGUUGAGCCAGGUUCAUGGGGAAUUGUUGAACAUCUUCGAUGCUAAGCAAAGAAAGCGAGAUCACCAGAAAAUAUUAAAGCUCAACCAUGAGAUACGUAUGAAGAAGAUUGCGACAAAAAGAGAGGCGAAUAAUCUCAUCAAGACAGCGUAUAAACGAUUACUGGUAAGA